rnacentral:rRNA from 1 species
AAUCAACGCUGGCGGCGUGCCUCAGACAUGCAAGUCGAACGCGAAAGUUCCCUUCGGGGGAUGAGUAGAGUGGCGCACGGGUGAGUAACACGUAGGUAAUCUACCUUUGGAUGGGGAAUAACAACCGGAAACGGUUGCUAAUACCGCAUAAUGCAGCGGCACCUAAUGGUGACAGUUGCUAAAGCGGGGGAUCGAAAGACCUCGCGUCUGAAGAGGAGCCUGCGGCGGAUUAGCAGUUGGUAAGGUAACGGCUUACCAAGGCGACGAUCCGUAGCCGGCCUGAGAGGGCGGUCGGCCACACUGACACUGACAUACGGGUCAGACUCCUACGGGAGGCAGCAGUCGGGAAUUUUGGGCAAUGGG